UACGGGGGGGGCAAGCGUUGUUCGGAAUUAUUGGGCGUAAAGAGCUCGUAGGCGGCUUGUCACGUCGAUUGUGAAAGCCCGAGGCUUAACCUCGGGUCUGCAGUCGAUACGGGCUAGCUAGAGUGUGGUAGGGGAGAUCGGAAUUCCUGGUGUAGCGGUGAAAUGCGCAGAUAUCAGGAGGAACACCGGUGGCGAAGGCGGAUCUCUGGGCCAUUACUGACGCUGAGGAGCGAAAGCGUGGGGAGCGAACAGG
rnacentral:rRNA from 1 species